GACAGAGGUGCCAAGCGUUAGGCGGAAUCACUGGGCUUAAAGCGUGUGUAGGCGGACUUGUAAGUACCUUGUGAAAUCCCACGGCUCACCCGUGGAACUGCUGGGUAUACUGCGAGUCUUGAGCCACUUAGGGGCUGUCGGAACAGGCGGUGGAGCGGUGAAAUGCGUAGAUAUCGCCUGGAACGCCAAAGGUGAAAACAGACAGCUGGGAGUGUGCUGACGCUGAGACAUGAAAGCCAGGGGAGCGAACGGG
rnacentral:rRNA from 1 species